rnacentral:misc_RNA from 1 species
GAUGAAGAACGUAGCAAAAUGCGAUAAGUAAUGUGAAUUGCAGAAUUCAGUGAAUCAUCGAAUCUUUGAACGCACAUUGCGCCCGCCAGUAUUCUGGCGGGCAUGCCUGUUCGAGCGUCAUUUCAACCCUCAAGCACAGCUUGGUGUUGGGACUCGCGUUAAUUCGCGUUCCCCAAAUUGAUUGGCGGUCACGUCGAGCUUCCAUAGCGUAGUAGUAAAACCCUCGUUACUGGUAAUCGUCGCGGCCACGCCGUUAAACCCCAACUCCUGAAUGUUGACCUCGGAUCAGGUAGGAAUACCCGCUGAACUUAAGCAUAUCAAUAAGCGGAGGA